CUGAGUUCACAGGUGUUGUUGCUGCUGCUGGGGUCCCAGGGUCUUGUGUGGAGCCCCGUCUGGUGGCAGGACAGGUAUUGAAGGUGCUGCCACUGGGGGCUGGGUCACAGGUACUGCUGUGCUUGCAGCUGUCAUCUGCUACUGCUGUGGGAGGGAGAGAGGAAGGCUGUGAGUGCUGCUGCUGCUGCUCCUACAGCCUCUGGUCUCUGGCACUGGUGUACUUUUUUAAACCUUGGGUCGCAGGCCUUACCACCACUGCCGUGGGUAUCCAUGUUUUGGAUGCUGUCCCCGAUGCUGGGAGGGCCCAUUUUGGAGUUGCUGCCAUUGAAGGAGGGGGGAAGGGGAAGGGGUUGCUCCCCUGGCUCCACUGCCUCCUAGAGGUCCCUCCACACACCUUCAGAGGUGUAGAUGCAUGGAUGUCUCAGGUGUUCUGGUGUGCUGUGGAGGGAAUCCUUUGUUGGUCAAUGGAUGUCUGAGUGGUUGUAACUUAAAGGAGAAAGACACAGGGAAGAAAUCACUCUGUCAUGAUCCUGACGUCACCCCCAAACUCAAUAAGCAUUUUUGAGUAAGGUUGACUAUAUUUUCCAAAGCUUACAGAUCACUUGUAUUGUUACCUGGUGAGUUGACUGUGAAUUUGCACAUUUUUCUUCAGGGUGUCCGUCUGGUCUUAUUGAUUUACAAAAUCUCGUUGUACAUUGAGAAUAUAAUAAACACUUUGUUGUGAUUGUUGCAGGAUUCUUUCUGUCUGUACUGGUGGCUCCAGCCCCUCAUCAGCCUGGGUUCUGCUGGCCCCGCAGUAGUGGCACGGGGUAAUAAAGAGCUUGGUCCAUUUGAGGUGGAAACACGAGUUUCGGGUUCAGUCUUAGCUGAUGGGCCACACCCACUGUCAGGUUGCAGGGCCCCAGCAAGCCAGCUCCAGGAGGCAGCCCCUGCCCCCACCCGAGCUGGGCAUUCCUGGCACGAGCUCAGAGCAGGGAAGGAGGCUGAAACAAGAAUGCAGUCAAAGGAACCUGAUUGUCAUUGACAGGAGAAAAAGGUAUUCACAAGUUUCUUUAUGUUUUGAAUAAUUGUUUCCUGUUUUGCUCAGGAGAACAAGUAAUUAAGAUGACAUUUGUGAGUACUAAUUUGGAUCACACUUAUGUGUAUGUGUUAGAGAGCUGCAAGCCAAAACAUGCAAAACCAGCCUUUCAUUGAGGAGAAAAUGAAAGAUACAGAAUGAAAUGGAACGGGAGCACCAAACGCUCACAGGAGCUGAGCGUCGUCGUGUAAAUUAGAACCCCAGUGCUGAUGGCAAUUCUCAUUAAAGUCAGUGCCUUUGGCUACGCCUACACACAGCCCACAGUGGCCGAUGCGUUGCAUGGGGUCUGUUAACGCUACUGCUGUGGACCUGGAACUGGUGAUGGCAUCCCUCAGGUCAGAUCCCAGCCAGCACCAGAUCUGGGUGCCCUGGGAGCCCUUACUGACGGGCUCUCCUAAAGCUGAUUUAUGCCCCAGUGGAGCACGAUGAUGGGGAUGGAAGGAGCGUGUCUAGAGCAGCCGGAGCACUUGUUCUCUACUGGCCAAACCCUCCAGCUCAGAAGCAGAGGGGCUGAGGCAGGAAGGCCUGGUGGGGAGUGGAGUUACCUAGCCCCCCAUGAGCCUCGGGAUUAUGUGCCACUGUGCUGCUGUGGCCCCCACAUCUGACCAGUCACACGCAGAUGUUCAAGCAUGACUAUAACAUAUGUACAGAUGGCCCUUCUGGGGACCAGAACCAUCUAAGUAAUGACACGGUCUCCUUGCGCAGAAGAGUGUUUGAGGCCUGAUAACUUUGUAGAAAGUUCUGCUACGAAUCAUUUUUAUCUUGCCCAAGACACAGCUCUGGAACCCAGGGGGUACAACUGGAAUCCCCCACGUAAUUUCCGCAUGUGUGUUUAGUCAUUUUAAUAAUCAAAACAGAUAAAAUUACCCCAAGUGAAAUUCACAGACAAGAAAUACUUUAAUUAAAUAUUGUGUAAAAUGAACAUUUUUAUACAGUUAAAUAUCUGAAAAAAUGUACAGAUAAAACAAUCUUAUUGUAGGGUCUUUAACAGUAAAAUCUACCAUUUAGUGAAGCGCUCAAUUUCGAGACAAUGAAGCGAUGAGGGCAUCGACUAGUUAAUCUAGAACACAAACCAAGUGCAGGUAUGAGGAAACUUGCAAACGUUCACAUGUACACGUGAGCUCGUUUUCAGAUCAAACCUUUACUUAUACAAAAUAAAACGGAGGCAAUUUAGUUCCAAAGUGACUUCUCAGGCUUUUCCACGUAGCUAAGCCUUGUCAGCCGUCACAGAGCCAGAGUGUGACCCACCGACCACUCGGGACAUUCUAUUUCAUUUAGUCCCUUGAAUGAACACUUUCCUAAGUUGUGCAUUGUUUUGUUUUGUUUUUGCGUCAAGAAAGUUUUUAAAAGUCCCUCCUUUUUGUUUUAAAUUUUAUUUCUGCUGCAGUUUGCAAAAUGUUGGCUGUGCUGUGUCUGCCAAGCAUUUAACGCAAAGGGAAAAAAAAACCGGACCCUUGUGGUCUCCCUGCGGGUUUGGCACUAACAGGUACAGUAUUUGAAGGCGGUCAUUCCAGUUUAAAAAGGACAGACUGUGCUGUUGGGUCCGACCACAAAAAAAUUAGUGUUAAAAAAAGAAAAUUAAAAACCAGCCGUGACUUUGGUUCCCCUGAAACCUCCCUGGAUCUGAGGCGGGCCUGGGAAGACGCAGAAUGCAGCAGGAUCGGAUGCAGAAAGGAGCGAGCCAGGGAGCACCGGGUUUGUGCUUUUGUCUGUGUGUGUGUGUGUGUGUGUGUGUGUGUGUUUUACACCAUAAAUCUCCAAAUGAAAUAUUGAUUAACAAUUGUGGUGUAAGCCUGUGAUAAAAUAGCACAAAGGUUCUUUAAAGAAGUCCACUUUUAAGGCAUCAGAGAAGUUAA
ensembl:lncRNA